AGCUGCAGAAUGUUGUUUCUUUCUCAGAGUGCUACACAUUGAAAAGACCGGGCUGUCAGGAGCAGCAGUUGUCCCAGCACCACAGCUGGGGACCUGUGAAGGGCAGUGGAGGAUGGACCUAGAUCAGAGCUAAGGUCAAAGUAAUGGGUUGAAUGGGCUUCUGAUUAACUCACAAACUAUGGAGGAAAGUACAGCUGAAACAGGUUAAAAGACUGCCCGGGGUUAUGUGGCAGGACUGUGAGGAUAGAGCUGUUAUGAAAACAGAAAUCCCUGGAGCCGCCUCGUAGCCCGCUGAGCCGCUGUGCUGCUGCGCGUCUCCGUGCUGCUCCCUCCAGCUCAGCUUGUGAUUCCUAAAGUAACUCUCGCCACAGGCAGUUUACAGAUCAUCUAUUUGGUGUCCACAACUAUAAAUAAUCUCUUGGCAAAAAUGAAUUUGAGCUGCACGAUUGUUGUCUCCAAGAGAACAGAGCCCAUGCCUUAUCUACUGGACAUCAUCCAGUGCAGUUCCUCAUCCAACACAGGAUUCUUUUCUUCAAUCAGAAAGUGAGAUGUCAUGCAAACAAAUUAGGAACCAGAUGAUGCAAUUUUUCAAAAAGAAACAAUUGCCACAGACUAAAUAAAUGCAUGGAUUCAC